UUAUUAUUAAUUUUUGAUUUAUUAAGGAUAUUGUUAACUUUUUAUUCUAAAAUUUUUUAGAUGAAAUGUAAGGUUUAUAAGUCAAAUUAAAUUUUAGAAAUAAAAUUUUAAGUAUGCAGAAAUGGUUGAUUAAGAGCGUGCCAGCGGUUGCGGUUAGACGAGAGAUAGGUCCUUAAAUAGGUGAUACUAAAAAUUAGUGAAAUAUUUAGGGGUGAAAUUUGAUAAUAUUUUUAUGAGAAAUUAAUCGUAAGUUAGGGGAAAUGAUUUGGAUUAGAAACCCAGGUAAUUCUAGUAAAGAUAGCAUUAGAUGAAGUAAUUAAAAAAUUUGGCGGUAUUAUUUAAUAGUAGAGGGGCUUGUACAUUAAUAGGAUAAUAAACCUGAUUAUACACUUAUUUUGUAGCUUCUUGUAUGAUUGUUUAGGUACUUUUAGGAUCUGUAAUAAAUAAAUGUAGGGGUUAUAGAUGAGGUGGAGUGAGUCUUAGAUUUAAGUGGUUAUUAGAUAUGAUAGCCUAUAGAGAAUUUACAAGUAAAUUAUUGGAAGGUUGAAUUAAUCAAUAAUAAGUACAUAUUGCCCGUCAAUUCCUUUUAGAGGAGUAAGUCGUAACAUAGUGAGUCAACUGGAAGGUGGAUUU
rnacentral:ncRNA from 1 species